GAUGAAGAACGUAGCGAAAUGCGAUAAGUAAUGUGAAUUGCAGAAUUCAGUGAAUCAUCGAAUCUUUGAACGCACAUUGCGCCCGCCAGUAUUCUGGCGGGCAUGCCUGUUCGAGCGUCAUUUCAACCAUCAAGCCCUGCUUGCGUUGGGGUCCUGCGGCUGCCCGCAGGCCCUGAAAACCAGUGGCGGGCUCGCUAGUCACACCGAGCGCAGUAAUACAUCUCGCUUUGGGCGUGCGGCGGGUUCUUGCCGUUAAACACCCCCUUUUUACCAAGGUUGACCUCAGAUCAGGUAGGAAUACCCGCUGAACUUAAGCAUAUCAAUAAGCGGAGGA
rnacentral:misc_RNA from 1 species